GACGAAGGAUGCAAGCGUUAUCCGGAUUCAUUGGGUUUAAAGGGAGCGUAGGUGGCCUUAUAAGUCAGUGGUGAAAUCUCUCGGCUUAACUGAGAAAUUGCCAUUGAUACUGUAGGGCUUGAGUACAGUUGCUGUGGGCGGAAUAUGACAUGUAGUGGUGAAAUACAUAGAGAUGUCAUAGAACACCGAUUGCGAAGGCAGCUCACAAAACUGUAACUGACACUGAGGCUCGAAAGUGCGGGGAUCAAACAGG
rnacentral:rRNA from 2 species